rnacentral:rRNA from 1 species
UGUGGCUGAUUCGGGUACAAACCGAACUGGUCAAACUGGGUUCGUGCCCAUCGUAACUCGGAAGCCGAGCAGGAUUCAUCCUGUACAGUAUUUGGAUGGGAGACCACCAGGGAAUAUCAGGUGCUAGAU